rnacentral:rRNA from 1 species
CAGGUGGUCAGGUAGAGAAUACCAAGGCGCUUGAGAGAACUCGGGUGAAGGAACUAGGCAAAAUGGUGCCGUAACUUCGGGAGAAGGCACGCUGACACGUAGGUGAAGUGAUUUACUCAUGGAGCUGAAGUCAGUCGAAGAUACCAGCUGGCUGCAACUGUUUAUUAAAAACACAGCACUGUGCAAACACGAAAGUGGACGUAUACGGUGUGACGCCUGCCCGGUGCCGGAAGGUUAAUUGAUGGGGUCAGCGCAAGCGAAGCUCCUGAUCGAAGCCCCGGUAAACGGCGGCCGUAACUAUAACGGUCCUAAGGUAGCGAAAUUCCUUGUCGGGUAAGUUCCGACCUGCACGAAUGGCGUAAUGAUGGCCAGGCUGUCUCCACCCGAGACUCAGUGAAAUUGAACUCGCUGUGAAGAUGCAGUGUACCCGCGGCAAGACGGAAAGACCCCGUGAACCUUUACUAUAGCUUGACACUGAACAUUGAGCCUUGAUGUGUAGGAUAGGUGGGAGGCUUUGAAGUGUGGACGCCAGUCUGCAUGGAGCCGACCUUGAAAUACCACCCUUUAAUGUUUGAUGUUCUAACGUGGACCCGUUACCCGGGUUGCGGACAGUGUCUGGUGGGUAGUUUGACUGGGGCGGUCUCCUCCUAAAGAGUAACGGAGGAGCACGAAGGUUGGCUAAUCCUGGUCGGACAUCAGGAGGUUAGUGCAAUGGCAUAAGCCAGCUUGACUGCGAGCGUGACGGCGCGAGCAGGUGCGAAAGCAGGUCAUAGUGAUCCGGUGGUUCUGAAUGGAAGGGCCAUCGCUCAACGGAUAAAAGGUACUCCGGGGAUAACAGGCUGAUACCGCCCAAGAGUUCAUAUCGACGGCGGUGUUUGGCACCUCGAUGUCGGCUCAUCACAUCCUGGGGCUGAAGUAGGUCCCAAGGGUAUGGCUGUUCGCCAUUUAAAGUGGUACGCGAGCUGGGUUUAGAACGUCGUGAGACAGUUCGGUCCCUAUCUGCCGUGGGCGCUGGAGAACUGAGGGGGGCUGCUCCUAGUACGAGAGGACCGGAGUGGACGCAUCACUGGUGUUCGGGUUGUCAUGCCAAUGGCACUGCCCGGUAGCUAAAUGCGGAAGAGAUAAGUGCUGAAAGCAUCUAAGCACGAAACUUGCCCCGAGAUGAGUUCUCCCUGAGACUUUAGGUCUCCUGAAGGAACGUUGAAGACGACGACGUUGAUAGGCCGGGUGUGUAA